rnacentral:rRNA from 1 species
AACCGAGAACUCCUACGGGAGGCAGCAGUAGGGAAUCUUCCGCAAUGGACGAAAGUCUGACGGAGCAAUGCCGCGUGAGCGAAGAAGGCCUUCGGGUCGUAAAGCUCUGUUGUUAGGGAAGAACAAGUAACGCAGUAACUGGCGUUACCGUGACGGUACCUAACGAGAAAGCCACGGCUAACUACGUGCCAGCAGCCGCGGUAAUACGUAGGUGGCAAGCGUUGUCCGGAAUUAUUGGGCGUAAAGCGCGCGCAGGCGGUUCCUUAAGUCUGAUGUGAAAGCCCACGGCUCAACCGUGGUGGGUCAUUGGAAACUGGGGGAAUUGAGUGCAGAAGAGGAGAGUGGAAUUCCACGUGCAGCGGUGAAAUGCGUAGAGAUGUGGAGGAACACCAGUGGCGAAGGCGGCUCUCUGGUCUGUAACUGACGCUGAGGCGCGAAAGCGUGGGGAGCAAACAGGAUUAGAUACCCUGGUAGUCCGACUGAGA